rnacentral:lncRNA from 1 species
UGGAAAAAACAGGUCCCGCGAUGAUCUCUUUGACCUAUCCGAUCUAGACCCGUUUGCGAUUCCCUUGUUUUUAAUCGGAUUGUCGAGCUAGACGACGCGCGACAAAAUAAUCGAUCAGUCGAAAGCGAUUUUAGUGGCAGGCUGAUGGUAUGAUAGCGUCGACUGUCGUAAAUGCCGGGGUGGUGGUGUUGGUUGUGCGGUUAGAAGCAGCACCAGUAGCAACUUGCAGAGCUUUUGGGCUUUGGAGGGGUUUCCCUUGGAAAUUGGAGCUGUUCUUCCGUCACCACAGAAUUCAAUCGGGCCGGGUAGGGGAUGGCCGAGUCUAUCUUAACGAGAACAAGCAACAGAAAUCAAUAACACAAUGAUUUUUGCAACAGACAGAAAAAGACAGGUCAAGACCAGACAAAUCCAAACCGGGGUUGUCGCGUUGUUGUGAAAAUGAUGGUGUUGGAAGAAAGAAGAGGGGCCGAUCGGUGGAAAGUAUGAGACGGUCGCAUGCAGAGAGAGAGAGAGAGUAUUGUAGGUAGAUUAGCUACCUACUGUAGUAUGCACUCGGCUCGGCAGAAGCGAGUACCUACUACAGUAGCACAGAGAGAGGCUAUCAAAGUUGGUAAUAGUAGAUGAGAUAGAUAUCUUUCAUCCAGCUAUGCACAACUCAGAUCGCACUCGCAGUCUACAGUGAGGGAAUCUUUAAAGGAACACGAAGUCAGCAUAGGGUGAUGUGAUCGUUUGGCUAUAGUCCCAGAACAUGAGUGGGCGCUGGCGAUGCUGAUUGGAGGCCGCCGGCAAUUACUAUGAUUCAUGGUGGAUGUUUGCGACCACCAGGCUGGACGUGUUCUAUUUUCCGUUCCAUCUUCAUCCAUUCCUCUUAUAUUCUGAUUAUCAUCAUAUAUACCAGAUCGCCAGCGAUACUUCGCCCUCAAAAGCAAACGACUGGUAUUUGAUGCAAUCUCAGGUACUAGUCCUGCGCAGAAGAAAGAAUAAGCAGGCAGGCAAGGUGAUCCGGGCGCCUCCAGCUUGUCCGCCAGCCACUUGCGUUGCGAUAUGCUAGUGUGCAGUUAGUUAGUCAGAGUUUAGUGUAUGGAGGCUUGUGACUUGGUUUGUUUGGUAUACUACAGAGUAGAGCGCUCGUCUCAUCACAUAUCAUCGUACUGCGAGUUACUAAAACAAGCAUCGAUGCCCAAUCUCAGCCUUGUGUCUGGUGAUGUCAGCACUCAGAUCGCGAUGCUUAUUGGAGGAAAAUAAGCGCUACCGCACCAACUAAGCUGGGCUCAAGAACUAUGAGUAUGUUCAAAUAUUGUCACGAUAACCCACUUGAUUUCUGAAUAAUCUUAUCUC